rnacentral:lncRNA from 1 species
AUGGCCAACGCAUUUUAUUCCCUCUAUUCCCAUGUGUCGCGUACCCCUGUUCAGAAACUGGCCACACCAGAAUUUACCUUCUCGUCUCCGGUGGAGAGGAUUGAACGCUUUAGGAGCAGUGUACGCAGUGAGCCACGUUCUCCAGUGGAGAGACUGAAGGACACAGUGUCCAAAAUGUGUCUCUAUACAGGCUCUCCUCGUGGGUCAGACUCCACCUCUCCGCAGACCUCACCCAGGAAAAGGUCCAGCCUCCCCGAUGUUGUGGAUUCAGUCCUCGUCAAAAUCAAGAGUGAGGUGUCCAAAAGACUGGAUAUGGGGGAAUUUACCCGGAGUAAUUCAGCACUGGAUGUUAGUCUAGUUGUGGAUGACAAUAAAUCCUGUCUCAGUGGGAAAGAAAAACAGACACAGCGGACCAUGGAAGGUACAGAGAGUCUUCAAAAUGGAAAUAAGCUCUGUCAUAAUGUGAAUCGGAGCAAUAAACAAACAAUUAGUGAUGAUGCUAAUGAAAACAGCGUCCAAGCAGCAGACCUUGACAGAAGGACUCAUAGUAUGAGAUCAUCUCUGGCCUCAACAUUUUCAGGAGAGACUGUGAUCGAAAUAGAUCAUCACUUUUUUUCAGCUCAGGUUGAGCAGGAGUCAAAGUCUCCUGUAAGUGGCACAGCGACAGCUGGGCUGAAGCCUGUUGCCAAGGUUAUAUAUGAUCGCAUCUGUCCGCUGAUAGUUGAAAGUGUACACCAGGCGCCUUUUGGCUGUCAACACACGCACAAUCCAAAAACAAACACUGCAGCACUUAUCUGCUCUGAUACAGAAAGCACAGACACAUCAUGUCUUGUAUCACAUAAGCCCUGCGGACAAAGCCAUACCUCUGUGCCUUAUAUUGCCUCUUCAGGGGAGGACAGGAUGGCAGAUACGUCCAGAUCACUUCCUGUGCUGGACUGUUCCAAUUACUGCAUUACUGUGACUGGCUGGGAUGGGGACCAUGCAUAUUCCGAUUCCUCGAACGCACCAGAUUCCAGGCAUUCUUCAACGGUCUCUCCUGUCCAGACAUGUGAGGAGUUAUUGGAGGUGGAGAAAAGCCGGUACCUGAAUCCACCAAUACACCAAAUUUCCAAUAACCUGAAGCCGCUUAACUCCUUUGAGCUCGAGGAGGUGCAGAGUGCAGGAGAGGAGGAGUGUGCGCAGCCAGAUGCUACAUUGUGCACAAAACAUCAGCACAAAGGUGAAGUUGUUCGAGGUGACAGUGUGCAGUCAGACAGCAGCGGCUACGCGGAGGAAGAAGUCAGUCCCUCAUCAGACAGGGGAAAUAAACGAAAACACAGAGCAGCACAUACAGUUUCUAAGACUUUGGAAAGUUUGGAAAGUGUGUCCAAGUGA